rnacentral:rRNA from 1 species
AGCAGCCGCGGUAAUUCCAGCUCCAAUAGCGUAUAUUAAAGUUGUUGCAGUUAAAAAGCUCGUAGUUGAAUUUCGGGAUUGACGUGAUGGUCGUGCCUUAAGGGGUAUGAACUGUCGCAGUUGAUUUCUCACCUUCUGGAGAAGCUUGAUGUCCUUAAUUGGGUGUCAUGCGGAACCAGGACCUUUACCUUGAAAAAAUUAGAGUGUUUAAAGCAGGCAUUUUGCUCGAGUACAUUAGCAUGGAAUAAUAGAAUAGGACGGCAUGGUUCUAUUUUGUUGGUUUCUAGGAUCACCGUAAUGAUUAAUAGGGAUAGUUGGGGGCAUUAGUAUUCAAUUGUCAGAGGUGAAAUUCUUGGAUUUAUUGAAGACUAACUACUGCGAAAGCAUUUGCCAAGGAUGUUUUCAUUAAUCAAGAACGAAAGUUAGGGGAUCGAAGACGAUCAGAUACCG